CGAGUAGGAAGAGGGAGUAGAAAGAAGUCUUGAGGUAGUGGCAAUCUGUCUAGAUUUAAGUUUUAGGAAUAGUUAAAAUGUUGCUUCUUGCUGUUUUUUAACUCUCGAUGUGCUUUUAGCUUCUUGGUGUUUUAAUUCUCGAUGUAAUGUAUUGUUUUUGUUAUCGCACCUAUUUACCAUAUCUCAUCAGAGGAAUCUGUGAUAACGCUGAGACGUGCUCAAAUUGUCACUGCAUUUGACGGAUACUUACUACUCCUUCUCUCUAUUCAUCAGUCAGGUGAGACUAGAAAUAUAUU